UACGAAGGGGGGCUAGCGUUGUCCGGAAUUACUGGGCGUAAAGCGUGCGUAGGUGGUUCGUUAAGUCUGAUGUGAAAGCCCUGGGCUCAACCUGGGAAUGGCAUUGGAAACUGGCGACCUAGAGUGCGGUAGAGGGUAGUGGAAUUCCCGGUGUAGCAGUGAAAUGCGUAGAGAUCGGGAGGAACAUCCGUGGCGAAGGCGACUACCUGGACCAGCACUGACACUGAGGCACGAAAGCGUGGGGGAGCAAACAGG
rnacentral:rRNA from 1 species